GCCGUAGUAGCUCAUUUGGUUAGAGCAUCGCACUCGUACUGCGAAGACGUGGGAUUGUUCCCCACCUGCGGCA